UACGGAGGGGGCUAGCGUUGUUCGGAAUCACUGGGCGUAAAGGGUGCGUAGGCGGGUCUUUAAGUCAGGGGUGAAAUCCUGGAGCUCAACUCCAGAACUGCCUUUGAUACUGAAGAUCUUGAGUCCGGGAGAGGUGAGUGGAACUGCGAGUGUAGAGGUGAAAUUCGUAGAUAUUCGCAAGAACACCAGUGGCGAAGGCGGCUCACUGGCCCGGUACUGACGCUGAGGCACGAAAGCGUGGGGAGCAAACAGG
rnacentral:rRNA from 1 species